rnacentral:rRNA from 1 species
GACGAACGCUGGCGGCGUGCUUAACACAUGCAAGUCGAACGAAGAGCGAUGGAAGCUUGCUUCUAUCAAUCUUAGUGGCGAACGGGUGAGUAACGCGUAAUCAACCUGCCCUUCAGAGGGGGACAACAGUUGGAAACGACUGCUAAUACCGCAUACGAUCUAAUCUCGGCAUCGAGGAUAGAUGAAAGGUGGCCUCUACAUGUAAGCUCUCACUGAAGGAGGGGAUUGCGUCUGAUUAGCUAGUUGGAGGUGUAACGGCCCACCAAGGCGAUGAUCAGUAGCCGGUCUGAGAGGAUGAACGGCCACAUUGGGACUGAGACACGGCCCAGACUCCUACGGGAGGCAGCAGUGGGGAAUCUUCCGCAAUGGACGAAAGUCUGACGGAGCAACGCCGCGGGAGGGAUGACGGCCUUCGGGUUGUAAAGCUCGGUUAAUCGGGACGAAAGGCCUUCUUGCGAAUAGUGAGAAGGAUUGACGGUACCGGAAUAGAAAGCCACGGCUAACUACGUG